rnacentral:rRNA from 1 species
UACGGAGGGUGCGAGCGUUGUCCGGAAUCACUGGGCGUAAAGGGCGCGUAGGCGGCUUCUCAAGCGUGUGGUGAAAGUCCGGGGCUCAACCCCGGAUCGGCCGUGCGGACUGGGGAGCUCGAGUUCUGUAGAGGCGGGUGGAAUUCCGGGUGUAGCGGUGGAAUGCGUAGAGAUCCGGAAGAACACCGGUGGCGAAGGCGGCCCGCUGGGCAGAGACCGACGCUGAGGCGCGACAGCGCGGGGAGCAAACAGG